GUUGGGGUAUUUUAGUGGUUGAUCGCUUGCCUCACAUGCUGGAGGCUCUGGGUUCCAUCCCCAGCACCACA
rnacentral:tRNA from 1 species